rnacentral:rRNA from 1 species
UGACGGUACCAUCAGAAAAAGCAACGGCUAACUACGUGCCAGCAGCCGCGGUAAUACGUAUGGUGCAAGCGUUAUCCGGAUUUACUGGGUGUAAAGGGAGCGUAGACGGCAUAGCAAGCCAGAUGUGAAAUGCGGGGGCUCAACUCCUGAACUGCAUUUGGAACUGUCAAGCUAGAGUAUCGGAGAGGUAAGUGGAAUUCCUAGUGUAGCGGUGAAAUGCGUAGAUAUUAGGAGGAACACCAGUGGCGAAGGCGGCUUACUGGACGAUAACUGACGUUGAGGCUCGAAAGCGUGGGGAGCAAACAGGAUUAGAUACCCUG